rnacentral:rRNA from 1 species
CGCCAGACUCCUACGGGAGGCAGCAGUGGGGGAUAUUGCACAAUGGGGGGAACCCUGAUGCAGCGACGCCGCGUGAGUGAAGAAGUAUUUCGGUAUGUAAAGCUCUAUCAGCAGGGAAGAAAAUGACGGUACCUGACUAAGAAGCCCCGGCUAACUACGUGCCAGCAGCCGCGGUAAUACGUAGGGGGCAAGCGUUAUCCGGAUUUACUGGGUGUAAAGGGAGCGUAGACGGCAAGACAAGCCUGGAGUGAAAGGCGGGGGCCCAACCCCCGGACUGCUCUGGGAACUGUCUGGCUGGAGUGCAGGAGGGGUAAGUGGAAUUCCUAGUGUAGCGGUGAAAUGCGUAGAUAUUAGGAGGAACACCAGUGGCGAAGGCGGCUUACUGGACUGUAACUGACGUUGAGGCUCGAAAGCGUGGGGAGCAAACAGGAUUAGAUACCCCGGUA